rnacentral:tRNA from 1 species
GCUAGCGUAGCUCAGUUGGUAGAGCACCUCACUUGUAAUGAGGAUGUCGUCCGUUCAAUUCGGACCGCUAGCUCCA